GACGAUUUAAAAAUGAUAGGAGUUCGUCCACCGCAUGCCCUCGUUAUGUGGUAGAAAACUCAACGACACGCCUGUUCAGGGGAUCCAGGAUGGAGAGAGACCAUAACACCAUAAAGGUGCUGCCUCACAUUCCUGACUAGAAAGGACAUUUUCCAGCAUCUGUGCCCAUUAUUUAAUCUGUCUGAUGCAGAAUGUAUCAGAUGUAGGUAAAUUGGCUCAUUUGCAUAGGGGAGAUACAAACACAAAAUGUUUCAGACUGUAGCUAUAGAGAUGGAGGUGUGGACUGUUGUUAUAUACAUACUGUUCUUCCAUUAUGCCAGAUUUGCUAGUCAGGUUGCAAAUCAGCAUUGUCUUUUGUAUUAUUUUUCACUGGCAUUAUGCCACCGCAUUUGCUCGUGUUCCACUUCUUGCAUUUAUAAAACCACAUUAUUUCUUUAUCCUUCAAAUCGAUAAAAGGUGUUGCUUAAAGUUAUUUUUUUCUUCAUUCCAUUGAUUGAUUAAAGUGUGGCCAGCUGAAGAUGUGUGAGAUUAAAGCAGCCUGCCUCUUCCCUUUCAAAUCCUAUCUGCUGGAUUCUUCAAAGCUGUCUAUUAAUCUUGUUAAUAAUCUUGAUUACUGUUUGUCAAAGAAGCGUAGCGGGGUUGGGUUUCCUGUUGAAUGGGCGGUGUGAGGUUUAUUGUGUUUUUUUUUAUUGUGGUUUGUUGUGUCAGUCUGUCAGCAAGGAUUGAGUUUUUCAGUAGCUGCUAUUGAAUAAAAACGAUUAUGUGAUGAUGACAAUAAUGCGUUUGACGUUAUGGUUAAAAUGUAUUAACCAGCCAGAGGGUUCACUGCAUGACUUUAUAACUUUUGAUAUUUUGGUAACCAGGCACAUGAUAGCUCUAAAUCAAAAGCAAAGCCUGGAAGAGUUGUGUUUUAUAAGUAGAUGAAAAAAUGCCUAAUUUCUGCUGACACUUAUUUUGAAACAAGUGAAAAAAUAAGUUUCUUAAGGGUUCUACACUGUAA